GACGAACGCUGGCGGCGUGCCUAAUACAUGCAAGUCGAGCGGACUUUCAAGAAGCUUGCUUUUUGAAAGUUAGCGGCGGACGGGUGAGUAACACGUGGGCAACCUGCCUGCAAGACGGGGAUAACUCCGGGAAACCGGGGCUAAUACCGGAUAAUAUCUUCCUUCGCAUGAAGGAAGGUUGAAAGGCGGCGCAAGCUGCCGCUUGCAGAUGGGCCCGCGGCGCAUUAGCUAGUUGGUGAGGUAACGGUUCACCAAGGCGACGAUGCGUAGCCGACCUGAGAGGGUGAUCGGCCACACUGGGACUGAGACACGGCCCAGACUCCUACGGGAGGCAGCAGUAGGGAAUCUUCCGCAAUGGACGAAAGUCUGACGGAGCAACGCCGCGUGAGCGAAGAAGGGCUUCGGAUCGUAAAGCUCUGUUGUCAGGGAAGAACAAGUACCGUUCGAACAGGGCGGUACCUUGACGGUACCUGACCAGAAAGCCACGGCUAACUACGUG
rnacentral:rRNA from 1 species